AAAUUGAAGAGUUUGAUCAUGGCUCAGAUUGAACGCUGGCGGCAGGCCUAACACAUGCAAGUCGAGCGGUAACACAGGGAGCUUGCUCCCGGGUGACGAGCGGCGGACGGGUGAGUAAUGUCUGGGAAACUGCCUGAUGGAGGGGGAUAACUACUGGAAACGGUAGCUAAUACCGCAUAACGUCGCAAGACCAAAGAGGGGGACCUUCGGGCCUCUUGCCAUCAGAUGUGCCCAGAUGGGAUUAGCUAGUAGGUGGGGUAACGGCUCACCUAGGCGACGAUCCCUAGCUGGUCUGAGAGGAUGACCAGCCACACUGGAACUGAGACACGGUCCAGACUCCUACGGGAGGCAGCAGUGGGGAAUAUUGCACAAUGGGCGCAAGCCUGAUGCAGCCAUGCCGCGUGUAUGAAGAAGGCCUUCGGGUUGUAAAGUACUUUCAGCGGGGAGGAAGGUGUUGUGGUUAAUAACCGCAGCAAUUGACGUUACCCGCAGAAGAAGCACCGGCUAACUCCGUGCCAGCAGCCGCGGUAAUACGGAGGGUGCAAGCGUUAAUCGGAAUUACUGGGCGUAAAGCGCACGCAGGCGGUCUGUCAAGUCGGAUGUGAAAUCCCCGGGCUCAACCUGGGAACUGCAUUCGAAACUGGCAGGCUAGAGUCUUGUAGAGGGGGGUAGAAUUCCAGGUGUAGCGGUGAAAUGCGUAGAGAUCUGGAGGAAUACCGGUGGCGAAGGCGGCCCCCUGGACAAAGACUGACGCUCAGGUGCGAAAGCGUGGGGAGCAAACAGGAUUAGAUACCCUGGUAGUCCACGCCGUAAACGAUGUCGACUUGGAGGUUGUGCCCUUGAGGCGUGGCUUCCGGAGCUAACGCGUUAAGUCGACCGCCUGGGGAGUACGGCCGCAAGGUUAAAACUCAAAUGAAUUGACGGGGGCCCGCACAAGCGGUGGAGCAUGUGGUUUAAUUCGAUGCAACGCGAAGAACCUUACCUACUCUUGACAUCCAGAGAACUUAGCAGAGAUGCUUUGGUGCCUUCGGGAACUCUGAGACAGGUGCUGCAUGGCUGUCGUCAGCUCGUGUUGUGAAAUGUUGGGUUAAGUCCCGCAACGAGCGCAACCCUUAUCCUUUGUUGCCAGCGGUCCGGCCGGGAACUCAAAGGAGACUGCCAGUGAUAAACUGGAGGAAGGUGGGGAUGACGUCAAGUCAUCAUGGCCCUUACGAGUAGGGCUACACACGUGCUACAAUGGCGCAUACAAAGAGAAGCGACCUCGCGAGAGCAAGCGGACCUCAUAAAGUGCGUCGUAGUCCGGAUUGGAGUCUGCAACUCGACUCCAUGAAGUCGGAAUCGCUAGUAAUCGUAGAUCAGAAUGCUACGGUGAAUACGUUCCCGGGCCUUGUACACACCGCCCGUCACACCAUGGGAGUGGGUUGCAAAAGAAGUAGGUAGCUUAACCUUCGGGAGGGCGCUUACCACUUUGUGAUUCAUGACUGGGGUGAAGUCGUAACAAGGUAACCGUAGGGGAACCUGCGGUUGGAUCACCUCCUUA
rnacentral:rRNA from 1 species